rnacentral:rRNA from 1 species
GACGAACGCUGGCGGCGUGCUUAACACAUGCAAGUCGAACGGAAAGGCCCUGCUUUUGUGGGGUGCUCGAGUGGCGAACGGGUGAGUAACACGUGAGUAACCUGCCCUUGACUUUGGGAUAACUUCAGGAAACUGGGGCUAAUACCGGAUAGGAGCUCCUGCUGCAUGGUGGGGGUUGGAAAGUUUCGGCGGUUGGGGAUGGACUCGCGGCUUAUCAGCUUGUUGGUGGGGUAGUGGCUUACCAAGGCUUUGACGGGUAGCCGGCCUGAGAGGGUGACCGGCCACAUUGGGACUGAGAUACGGCCAAGACUCAUACGGGAGGCAGCAGUGGGAAAUAUUGCACAAUGGGCGGAAGCCUGAUGCAGCAACGCCGCGUGCGGGAUGACGGCCUUCGGGUUGUAAACCGCUUUCGCCUGUGACGAAGCGUGAGUGACGGUAAUGGGUAAAGAAGCACCGGCUAACUACGUG